CCUACGGGAGGCAGCAGUGGGGAAUUUUCCGCAAUGGGCGAAAGCCUGACGGAGCAAUACCGCGUGAGGGAGGAAGGCUCUUGGGUUGUAAACCUCUUUUCUCAGGGAAGAAUAAUGACGGUACCUGAGGAAUAAGCAUCGGCUAACUCUGUGCCAGCAGCCGCGGUAAUACAGAGGAUGCAAGCGUUAUCCGGAAUGAUUGGGCGUAAAGCGUCCGCAGGUGGUUUUAUAUGUCUGCUGUUAAAUAGUUAGGCUUAACCUAAUAAAGGCGGUGGAAACUAUAAGACUAGAGUACGUUCGGGGUAGAGGGAAUUCCCAGUGUAGCGGUGAAAUGCGUAGAGAUUGGGAAGAACACCAGUGGCGAAGGCGCUCUGCUAGGACUGUACUGACACUGAGGGACGAAAGCUAGGGGAGCGAAUGGGAUUAGAUACCCCAGUAGUCCUAGCCGUAAACGAUGGAUACUAGGCGUUGUCUGUAUCGACCCGGACAGUCGCGUAGCUAACGUACGUUAAGUACUCCCGCGUGGGAGUCGCAGCGACUAGUAGUAACUAAAUAGUAAGUUAGUACGGCGUGAGACGUCGCCGACGACGACGACGAGGGAGGUAGG
rnacentral:rRNA from 1 species